rnacentral:rRNA from 1 species
CGAGAGUAAGCUAAUCUCUUAAAGCCGUUCUCAGUUCGGACUGUAGGCUGCAACUCGCCUACACGAAGUCGGAAUCGCUAGUAAUCGCGGAUCAGCAUGCCGCGGUGAAUACGUUCCCGGGCCUUGUACACACCGCCCGUCACACCAUGGGAGUCGGAAAUGCCCGAAGUCUGUGACCCAACCGUAAGGAGGGAGCAGCCGAAGGCAGGUCGGAUGACUGGGGUGAAGUCGUAACAAGGUACC